GGCACCGUCACCGCGCUGUGGCUGCUGCAGCUGUUCCUGCUGCUCAGGCCCGGGCACCCGCCUGCUCGCCGUCUGCCUUCUCCGCGCGGCCGAAGCGUAUCAGGAUCGCCUCGUGCUCCUCCAGAGAACUGCCUUAUUUGUCCCCUUUGAAGACAAAUGUUCUUGAGCACUGGUUGAACUGGAUUUUCAGGCCAGGUCAAGGCCCAGUUCUUGAUGGUGCUAUCUUACUGCUACCUAUUCCAUGGCACACCCUCCAGAUAAGUCCCUUUCUCCAGUUACCAGCUACUGGUUUAGACACUUCAAUUUUUUGUUGUUGUUAUCCAUCAACUGCCAAAGAAGUGCUUCUUGCCACCUUUUUGGAGAAAUGAUUUACUAAGUGUGCUGUACAAAGUUCUGCUGGAAACAAAUAUUACUUUGGGAAGAUUUUGUAUAGUUCUAUCAAAACCAGCAUCAUUUCCUUCUUUAAUUCAGGAAAAUCUCUUUCGUAGAGCAUUAGAACAGAUGGGAUGCGAGCAGAUGAAAUACAAGAUGGAGGCAAAUGCUUUUAUUUCAAAACAGAACUUUUUAUAAGGUUUUUGCAUAAAUUUGGUAGAGUUUGCAUUAAUUAGUCAUUAAGGGAUAAUGAAGUUAUUUGGAUUAUACAUGUUCGGAAAAUGAAAAACAAAUGAAAUGAUUAUUUUUCUGUUUAGUUUUGAACUGCCUCAGUGUCCUGUCUUUACAGAGGUAUUUUAUAAAACAGCUUGAGUCAACAUAGAACAAAGAAUUUGAGCAUGUACAACAAAUCCUUGGAAAGAGUUCUGUCAGAGCUUUCAUCUGACCACCAACCUGAAAUGCUGAUCACCAGCCAGAAAAAUCUCUACACAUUGUCUCUCUUGAAGAGGUGUUAAAUUGCAGUGCAGUCAGGAUGAAAAAAACAAGUCAGAUUUUAAUAAUAUCGAGUCUUAGAUGUCAUCAGCAAGAAGACAUUUCCUGGAAAGAACUAUGUUAUUACAGUAUUAUUAUUUGUAAUGAUUUGCUUGAUAUGAUCAACAAAGAAAAAGUAAAUGAUCCAAAUGGGACCUCUGGCAGGGAACUGCAUUCUCAUUAAAAGAAGUAUUAGUGGGCCAAACACAUUUGAGUAAACACUGAAGAUGAACUUAAUUUAGAAAGGAGGAGCUGUUUGUGGAGACCACAAAGAAUUUGUAAGGCCAAAAAAUUCUGGUUUCACCCACCAAGGGAGAAUAAAACCAGGUUGACCUUUGCCAAACCUCUUGGCAGCCUUAGCCAGGAUUUAUAUUUAAGGAAAACUUAAAAGUCAAAAUAACAUAGUUUACAUGAGAUCAUGUGCUUUAUCACUGCCAUCUCUUAGAUACUCAGACAGUGGCAGACUUGGAGAUCUGGCAUCUCAGAGAAAUACCAAGAAGAGUGGGGGUGGUGGGGAAGACUUCAGAUCCAUUGCUACGAGGUCAUCAGCUUGAAAGAUAAUCAGUAAAUCAGAGGCAACUGGCUAUGUUGCCAACUCAGUUUGCCAGCGAGAAAAAUGCAAUACAAAAAUGUUAAUAAUGACAUCGAUGGUUUAGUUAUGCAAGAUUCUAGAGACAAUUCAACCAAACAUGUUCAUUUCUACGUUUUGGGCAGUUGCCUUUUAAAAAUGUAUAAGAUGGAGGCUCCUGGGGUGGCUCAGUCAGUUGGAUAUCUGACUCUUGAUUUUGACUCAGGUCAU